UACAGAGGCCUCGAGCGUUGCGCGGAAUCACUGGGCUUAAAGGGUGCGUAGGCGGAUACACAAGUGCCUUGUGAAAUCCCCGGGCUCAACCCGGGAACUGCUUGGUAGACUGUGUGUCUUGAGGUCGGUAGGGGUCGCUGGAACAGUUGGUGGAGCGGUGAAAUGCGUAGAUAUCAACUGGAACGCCGAAGGCGAAGGCAAGCGACUGGGCCGAUUCUGACGCUGAGGCACGAAAGCGUGGGGAGCAAACGGG
rnacentral:rRNA from 1 species